rnacentral:misc_RNA from 1 species
AAAUGAUAAAAUUGGUCUUGAGAAGGAAUCACAGCUAAAAUCCAGGCCAACAAAGAGUGGAAAGACAAUCGAACUAGAUGAUGUCACCUUUCAUCAAUGUGUCAAUUUGACGAGGUUCAACUCAGAAAAGACAGUUAGCUUUGUGCCCCCUGACGGAGAAUUUGAAUUGAUGAAGUAUCGAAUUACUGAAGGUGUAAAUCUUCCAUUUCGAGUGUUACCAACAAUCAAGGA